AAAGAAGCCAGAUAUUAAAGAUCCUAAAUAUGCUCAGUGGGAUAUGGACAAUUGCACCAUUUUAGGAUGGAUGUUUAAUUCUAUGGAGGAACGCAUUUAUAAUAUAUUCAUAUUUUAUGACUCUGUUAAUGACUUGUGGACUGCUUUGGAUCAAAUGUAUGCUCAUUCUAGGAAUGAUGCUCGUAUUUUUGAAUUAUAUCAAGAUAUUGCUAAGGCCUUGUAGGAAGGCCUGAAUUUGUCUGUAACUGAUUAUUUUGGGUAUUUGAGAUCUCGUUGGGAGGAACUAGCUAAAUAUGAGCCUCUUAGUGAAUUUCCUUUUGAGGCAGCCUCUCUUCUUGUCAAACGUCUUGAUCGUCAGCAUACCUAUCAGUUUUUGAUGGGAUUACGCCCAGAAUUUGAACCACUAAAGUCUCAGAUCUUGAAUGCAUCACCAAUGCCAUCCCUGUUGGAAGCCUUUGCUAUUGUUGAUGGUGAAGCACGUAGGCACCGUUUAAUUCAGCCCUCAAUUGUUCCUGUACCAGUGUCUGAGCCUGCUGGGGAUAGUAUGGCUUUUGCAGCCAACUUUGGAUCACGAGCUUCCGGAGGUCAGAUUAUUUGUCACCAUUGUGGAGGGGUUGGACAUGUUAAGGCUCGUUGCUUUAAACUUCAUCCUGAACUGAAGCAAAAAUUUUCUAGGAACCGUUUAUCUGGAACUGGUUCUUCUUGUACUGCGGCUAUUGCAGAAACUCCUGUUACUACUGGUGGAUCUACUGUAUUUCCUGGAUUGAGCCAGCUUCAGUCUCAGAUUGGGCAGAUCUAGGACCAGCUUGGCUCCCUUGCUUUUAGAGUUAGUGCUCUUUCAACUGCUCCCACUGCAACUAUUGCUACAGGUACUCCUAUUGCAUUUCAUGUUAAGGCCAAGCAGCCCACUUGGGUUCUAGAUUCUGGGGCCAAUGAUCACAUGACUGGACCUUUGUUCGAAGAGGAUUUUUGGCAGGGGUUAUGAGCGUGAUGGGCUUUACUACUUUGGGGAACCACCAGGAACAAGUCUUCAAGCUUCUGUCCUACCUACUUCUAGUGUUUAUGAUGUUUCUUUUCGCACUUUUAGUCUGUGGCAUGCACGUUUGGGGCAUGUAAACUUUCAAUAUCUAUGUCUAUUGUUUCCUUCGUCAAAUAGCAUGUAAGGACCAUAAGUUUCAAUGUGAAGUUUGUGAGCUUUCUAAACAUACUAGAACUAGCUAUAUUUCUCAUAUGAGUCGUGCUCCUAGUAUGUUUGAUCUUAUUCAUUCUGAUGUCUGGGGCCCUUCCCCAGGUACUGCUUUCUCUGGACAUCGAUAUUAUGUGACAUUUAUUGAUGAUUA